CAGAGGGGUGAAGUCACCAGGAGGCCGGGGCACACUGUGGCCGAGCCAGGCCCGAGCUCAGGUUUCCUGACUCGGGCUCAGAGCGUGCUCCGAGCCCUGGGGCCACUCUGCUCCCAGCUCAGAACAGCUGUCGUUCCCUUUAGCUUCUAAACCCGCAGAGGGUACAGGCAGGAUCUUCCGAGGGGAUUGACGUCCCCACGGCAGUUAGCACCGCCUGUGGGUGGAGCUAUUGCCGAGAACACUUGAGCCUUUGCCGGGAGCGUCGGACUUGGGUUUUGAAAGUCUACUUGCCGUGGCCUGUGCGAGUUUGUCCCAGCUCCUUUUUUGUCACUCCUCUGUGACAGCGCUCAGCCAGCAGGGAGGCCAGAGGUGCGCAUUUUGGACCACUUUGGAAUCCGUCCUCCAAACACCGUCUGGUGGCUCACUCUCACAGCUGGUGAGUAUCGUUCCUUGUCCAGCCACGGGGUUGGGGAGGGGCCGAGAAGUGUACGCAUGCUUGCUCCCCUGACCUGCGGGUGCUCACAGCUGGAGAGACAGCAUCACGUGAGAAACAGCUAGAAGGAUGGUGUGAGUGCCCUCUCAAGGCGGGGGAGGGCGGGGCCCAUGACCCUCCACUAUGAGAGACACAACCAGCUCAGAGAGGCAGAGAUCCCUGGGGACAGGGAGGCUCUGAGGAAGCUUCCUAGCUGAGGACACCCGCAUCCCCCUCCCCUUAGUUUGUCUCCAUCCGGCUGAAACAUUGUUGCAGUUUGUGAAUCACACCAGGAAAACCGCCCCUGCCACAUUCCGGGAUGUGAAAGCCAGGACCUUGGCCUCACUGCUGAUGGGUGGUGGUGGACCAGGGGAAAGGGCACCAGGCAGGCAGUCUGGUGAUGCAGGAUUCUGUGCCCUGACCUACACACACCGGUCGGAUGAGGCAGAGUCGGGUGCUUUUCCAGUCAAGGUCAAUGCCAAAGCGGCCAGAGUCAGGUCUCCUGACUUCCAGGCAGGUACCUCCCGAGUUUGGUGACGAUGAGAGAGCGUGCAUGAUGGGGAGGAGCAGAGAGAGAGAGAAGGUUCAUGCGGCUCUGUCAGUACAGAGUCCGACUUGCGGCUCAAACUCAGGAACUGUGAGAUCAUGACCUGAGCCGAAAUCGAGAGUUGGACGCCCAACCAACCAAGCCACCCAGGCGCCCCAAAACCAUACUCUUUAGAUGGUAAAAGGACAAAGAGAAGCAAGUAAGUGACUAUCAUAAAAAUCAGGAGUGGUUACCUUAGAGAGGAGGGAGAGAAAUGUGGUUGCAAAUGGUCCCGCAGGGGACUUCUGGGAUGCUGGCAAUGUCCUGGGUUUAGCCUGGGUGUUUGGUACAGGGAUGUUGGUUUAUAAUAAUUCUUCAAGUGGUGUAUUCAUGUAAUGCAACUUUCUGAGUGUGUUUUAUUCCACUAAACUAUGUGAAAUUGCCAAUAUCAACCAUUUUUAAUCUACAAAACGGCAGUUUCAUAGGGUUCAACCUAAUAUUUCACAGUAAAGACCAGUUUACAUUAAGCUAAGCAGCCGUUCAAAAUGAUGAUUUUAAGGCUAUUAAUAACUGCGUUCACUCAUUUAUUUAUUAAACAAAUGUUUCCCAGGGGCUUUGAUGAACCAGGCAUACUUGUAGGCAUGGGGAUGGGGAAUCAAAAUCUGUCGGGGGCGGGGGGCGGGGGGGGGCUGGGUGGCUCAGUCGGUCGAGCUUCCAACUUCAGCUCAGGUCAUGAGCUCAUGGCUCCUGAGUUCAAGCCUCGCGUCGGGCUCUGUGCUGAUGGCUCAGAGCCUGGAGCCUGCUUUGGAUUCUGUGUCUCCCUCUCUCUGCCCCUCCCCUGCUCAUACUCUGUCUCUGCCUCUCCAUCUCUCUCUCAACUAAAUAAACAUUGAAAAAAAAUUUAAAACAGACAAAUUCUGUCACGGUGCUCACAUUCCCAUGAAGUGGAGGAGAGAGGCUGUGCACAGCCAUGGAAGGACCGGUCCGCAGGCCGUGAAAAGAACAAGUGCACAGGCCCUAAGUCUGGAAUGUGCUUGGCGGGACUGCAGAACAAGGAGGCCAGCGUUAUCCAGUCAGAGUGCAACAAGGGGAGAGGACGAGCACACGAGACGAGAGGUAACCAAGGACCGACCACGGAAGUCCCACACGCCCGGGCGAGGGACUUUGGAUUUUAUUCCGAGAGUGACAAGAGGCCGCUGGAAGCCUGAGAGCAGGACGUGCUAUGAUUCGAUUUAUAGUGUGGAAGGAAGAGACCGACUGUUCUAUGGAGAAGGGAAGUAGGGAAGCCGAAGCAGGGAUUCCUGUUGCUGUGAUGUCUGGGCACGGGAUAAAGGUGGCAUGGACCAGGGCGGGGGUGAUGGGGGCACGCAGGGUGUCGGAGUCAGAGCUGGUAAAUUUUAUAGGGAGAACCCAGACCGGAUUUGUGGAUGGACUGCAUGGAGAGUAAGUAGAAAAGGUCAAUAAUGUGUAUGAUAUAUAUUUUUUAAAUUAGGAUACACAAUUCUAUAGACAGUAUGGUCAAAACUCUUCAAAAUGUGUUCUUGGGGCACCUGGCUGGCUCCGUUGGUGGGGCAUGCGACACUUGAUCUCUGGGUUGUGAAUUCUGGCCCCAUGUUGGGUGUAGAGAGUACUUAAAAAUAAAAUCUUUAGGGGUGCCUGAGAGGUUCAGCCGGCCAAGUGUCCGACUCUAGGUUUUAGCUCAGGUGAUGAUCUCACGGUUUGUGGGUUUGAGCCCUGCCUCGGGCUGAUGGCACGGAGUGUGCUUGGGAUUCUGUCCCUCCAUCUCUGCCUCUCCCCUGCUCAUGCGCACUCUCAUUCUCAAAAUAAAUAAAUAAACAUCAAAAAAUUUAAAAUAAAAUAAGAUCUUAAAAAAAAA